UAAUUUAGAACAUUACCGCCACAAAAGAUGUCAGAAUAGAUGGAGACAUCCUCUCUUUUCUGCCUCUUAAUACCCAUCCACUUCAUUCUCGUUCUGCCCGUUUGAAACAAUUAAGAGUUACCAAGCGAUAAAGCAACCCCCAAAUUCAAGAAAUCAAGGAUGUAAUCCCAUAAAAUCUGUAGUGAUCGGUGCUCAUUUAACCUACGAUUUUUUCUUCUACGUAACCUAAAUCCAUCAGCCACCACCUGGAUGAAGAUUUUUUGUUUUGGUUUCACAGGUCAAUUUCUUCAUCUCUUUCUCUGAAUGUAGUAGUUUUGGUUUAACAAAUUCGAUUUCAUAAUCUCAUUGGUAUGCGGUCCCUUCCAAAAUUAAAUUGAUUUUGAAAUACCGAAAUCUUAGCAAGACCCCGACCCUCUCAGCCUCUAAAAACCCUAAAUGUCAGUCAUAUAUACGCCAUACUCACCGCUUCUUACUUCUGCUACAAAGACACAACACAUUGAUGGAACAAUGGUGGCUAUAGAGAGUGGAAUCUGACUCAAAAUAGUGAAAUCGGCCAAAUAAUAGUCUAAAGAUAGUAAAAUCAUCGCCUUUCUUCUUAAACCUAAGAUGUGAAGUACAAUCUGGUGGUGAACAAAUACCACACAUGUUAUAAAAAAAAAAAAAAGUUGUCUGGGAUUGGGGUGCUUGAAGAAGUAGAAAUUCACAUAUUCAACAGGAAAAAAGAUGGUUACAAUAUUGAGAAACAUGAAGAAGGAAUGGUUGUUGUCCAAAGCAGAUGAGCUUGGGUUCACAUUCAACAGAUCUUUUUGUGUUUUCAAGUUAUGGUGUUUCAUCCUGUAUCAAAAUGUUAAUUAACCAUGGUUUCCAAAUAGGUGUUUGAAAAAAAUGCCCCUGCUUUGAUAUAAGCAUGGAAGUGGAACCUGCUGGUUUUGCAACUUUUAGGGGCAUAACAUGUCGAGACACUGCAUCUAAGGUCCAUGGUUUCACAGUCCAUAGGUUAUAUAUGUAACGCAGUCAAUCUUCCACAUAUAAAAGUAUCUUUGUCGACAUCUAUCUUCUAUAUAAGGCCGUCCCAGUUGAUUAGUUAAUUGGGCAAUAUGGGGUGAUAGCCCAUGACCUCCGAUUCUUCAGGGGCCCUAUUUUUAUAUUCUUUAUUAUGUCAGUAUAAGAAAAAACAUUAUAUAUCAUGUAUAGUGGUUGAUUUGAACGACCAUCGAUUAAAGGUCUAUAAAUCAAUUAUGAUUUUUUCAAUGGUAACAAAAAACCGAUUCUGAUUUUUUAGCGCAACA